AACUAUAACGGUCCUAAGGUAGCGAAAUUCCUUGUCAGGUAAGUUCUGACCCGCACGAAUGGCGUAAUGAUUUGGGCACUGUCUCAACAGCCCGCCCGGCGAAAUUGUAGUACUGGUGAAGAUGCCAGUUACCCGCAACUAGACGGAAAGACCCCAUGGAGCUUUACUGCAGCUUAAUACUGAAAUUCGGUAGUACAUGUACAGGAUAGGUGGGAGACUGAGAAAUACAGGCGUCAGCUUGUAUGGAGUCGCUGUUGGGAUACCACUCUUGUACUGCUGGGUUUCUAACCUGCGGCCGUGAAUCCGGUCGGGGGACACUGUUAGGCGGGCAGUUUGACUGGGGCGGUCGCCUCCAAAAGAGUAACGGAGGCGCUCAAAGGUUCGCUCAGCAUGGACGGAAACCAUGCCAAAGAGUGCAAACGCAAAAGCGAGCCUAACUGCGAGACUGACGGGUCGAGCAGUAACGAAAGUUGGAGUUAGUGAUCCGGUGGUAUGUGAGUGGAAAUGCCAUCGCUCAACGGAUAAAAGUUACCCUGGGGAUAACAGGCUGAUCUCCCCCAAGAGUCCACAUCGACGGGGAGGUUUGGCACCUCGAUGUCGGCUCAUCGCAUCCUGGGGCUGAAUUCGGUCCCAAGGGUUUGGCUGUUCGCCAAUUAAAGCGGCACGCGAGCUGGGUUCAGAACGUCGUGAGACAGUUCGGUCCCUAUCUGUUGCGGGCGUAAGAGAUUUGAAGGGAGCUGUCCUUAGUACGAGAGGACCGGGAUGGACGUACCUCUGGUGCACCAGUUGUCCUGCCAAGGGCAUAGCUGGGUAGCUAUGUACGGACGAGAUAAACGCUGAAAGCAUCUAAGCGUGAAACUCCCCCUAAGAUGAGAUCUCUCAUCCUUCAAGGAGUAAGGACCCAGAAAGACGAUCUGGUUGAUAGGCCGAAGGUGGAAGCGCAGUAAUGUGUGCAGCUGAUCGGUACUAAUAGUCCGAGGGCUUGACCUA
rnacentral:rRNA from 1 species